rnacentral:rRNA from 1 species
GCGUAGGAAUCUGCCUAGUAGUGGGGACAACAUGUGGAAACGCAUGCUAAUACCGCAUAAGCCCUACGGGGAAAGGAGGGAUCUUCGGACCUUUCGCUAUUGGAUGAGCCUGCGUGAGAUUAGCUUGUUGGUGAGGUAAAGGCUCACCAAGGCGACGAUCUCUAGCUGGUCUGAGAGGAUGACCAGCCACACUGGAACUGAGACACGGUCCAGACUCCUACGGGAGGCAGCAGUGGGGAAUCUUGCGCAAUGGGCGAAAGCCUGACGCAGCGACGCCGCGUGGGUGAUGAAGGCCUUCGG